GAUGAACGCUGGCGGCGUGCCUAAUACAUGCAAGUCGAGCGAACAGACGAGGAGCUUGCUCCUCUGACGUUAGCGGCGGACGGGUGAGUAACACGUGGAUAACCUACCUAUAAGACUGGGAUAACUUCGGGAAACCGGAGCUAAUACCGGAUAAUAUAUUGAACCGCAUGGUUCAAUAGUGAAAGACGGUUUUGCUGUCACUUAUAGAUGGAUCCGCGCCGCAUUAGCUAGUUGGUAAGGUAACGGCUUACCAAGGCAACGAUGCGUACCCGACCUAAGAGGGUGAUCGGCCACACUGGAACUGAGACACGGUCCAGACUCUUACGGGAGGCAGCAGUAGGGAAUCUUCCGCAAUGGGCGAAAGCCUGACGGAGCAACGCCGCGUGAGUGAUGAAGGUCUUCGGAUCGGAAAACUCUGUUAUUAGGGAAGAACAAAUGUGUAAGUAACUAGGCACGUCUUGACGGUACCUAAUCAGAAAGCCACGGCUAACUACGUG
rnacentral:rRNA from 1 species